AGGAAUUGGGAUGCAACACCUUAUCAUUUUACUUUAAAGGGCACGUUUUCCCUGGCUUUAAGUCGUAACUUGUAAGCUGUACAACUCCGCAGUCCACACUCAUGGUCAUGGGAUGGAGGGCUACUGGAGGAGUGCAUGACAGUUGACACACAACACAAAACCAAUCCACAGCCAGCCACAUGUCAUAUCCCAUUAGAUUUCCCGCCCCCUUUUGAAGCCUAACAACUCGGAAGAAAUCACAGAACUCUUUCAAGGGUUGUGAUUCCUUGAAAAGAUUACUUAUGUCAGCAUUCCAGCCAGGGUUUAUGGCUGAUUUUCUAUGCUUUCCUGCAUAUGCGGUAUCCAAUUCCUAAAUGCUAUCUAUGGUUGUUGGGCAUGUAGGUAGUUUUCUAAGCUUUGAUGCAUAUGGGUUUCUAUUUUUCUUGUUUUAAAGUUUUUGUUAUUUGCACUUAUGGAUUCCUCCUGACAUUUUGAUUUCUCUUUGCAUUUAUUUGUUUGGGUCUUUGUUUCUACAGAUUUCACCUUUUUUCAUCGUUCCGGUUUGUUUGGUAGUUUACAAACUAUGAAGAACCUAGGUAUCAGCUUUUUCCUGUUUCACUUGUGAGCUUUCUUAAAUGCAUUAAUUAUAUCAUCUGAUGUAUGAGUUUUCUUCUAUACUAGAAUAUUAGGUCAUCUUCUGCAGCCAUGUUGCUUGUAAGCACCAAAAACUUCUGGCACCUAGGGUCUUUUCUUCACUGUGAUAGGGUUGAGAGAUGAUAUAGUGGUUGUAGUUCAACGUUUUCAUUCUUGUCAGUUACUGACAGUCGAUGGUUCCUCAUCAAUCAUACAAGGCUCCAUUUCAUUAAGAAUUCUUACUUUGGGUAAUUAUCUUAAGGAGUUGUAGAAUUUUGCAUUUAACUAGGAAACCUUGUAAUUUCCAGAAUUGCAGGUCAUGUAAAAGCUCUGGCUUAAGGAGAAAUUCUUGCAACACUGACUUAAAUAAGUACUUAUGGUUUUAGAUGAGAUCAAGAGUUUGAACAUGGUAUGUGCUACUAUGAUUUGGGGCUAUUCUUCUAACUGCUCCCUUAUUUAGCACUCUUGUUUUUCUUCUGGUUUCCUUUCUGGAUAUAUCUUGACUAAACUUGAAUUCCACAAGUAUUUAGGUUAGAUAUUCUGCUUCUCAAGAUGGCUGAUAAGGUAUUAACAGGAAAGCCAAUAGAAAGAUUUAUGGACUUGUGUUGUAGGGAAACUUCUGGCAGACGGCACCAAAUGACAUAGCCAAGGAUUCUGACCUGAUUAUAGGGAGUCUGACAAAAGAAAUGAUGAGGAAGGUUGUUAAGGGGAGAUCUAAGGGAGGUAAAUAUAGAGGAACAGAAAGCUUGACAGAAAAUUGUACUGAUAAUUUUAAGGGAAAAGAAAGUACUAAACAGAUGACUAUGAAAGGUAACUCCAAGGCAGAGUGCUCUAAGCAGGAGGAGAGUCAGACUGGUGAAAGGGUUCCCAUUGGCAAUGGACAGACAGAGGUAGACAACACUGUCCAGAAAGAGGACAACAAGAACAUAGACACUCCAAUGAUGCAAAAGAGGGGUGCAGAUGGAGAAACAGUUUGUGCGUAUUUCUCAUCUUCACAGAAAAGUUAGUCUAGGCUUCAUCCUAGGAAAGAGGUUCCUGCUUUCCGCAUGGUUAAUCUGGAGGAGAAUGACAAUGAAUUUGUAGUUGGCAAAAGAGUCAAGGUCUACUGGUCAGGUUCACGCAGAUGGUUCACAGGACGCAUUGUUGCUUUUGAUAACAAGAAUUGCCUACAUAGGAUUCUGUAUGAAGAUGGUGACAAAGAGGUGUUGGACUUAAGAAAAGAACGGUUUGAACUCAAGGUAAUGCCAACUGACAGUUUCAAGUUGAAAAGGGAGCUGUGUUCUGAAAGAAAAGUUGGUAGUUUAGAUUCUGCCAACAGUAGGAAUAUGUGAUGAAAGAGAACUCAAGAAAUGUUAAUGGUGCAGCAGUGACAAAUGUUAAUAUCUUUUCAGAAACUGCUAAAAGAGCUACUAAAGAAUUUGAAGCAGAAGUUACUGUAGUGAAGUCUCAUUCUGACUUCUGGAGCAUGGGAUCAGACAACUGUGACAUUAAAGAAAGAGGGAAAGCUGUGAAAGAUGACUUCCUGAAGAUUAUCAUUGCUGAAUUAGCAAAAAGGCUGAAGAGUUCAAGGAAAAAACUUAUGCAAAAAGCUCUAAGAAUGAGGACCUCCAAGUCUUCAAGCAGGAAAGAUAGCAACUGUGGGGUGAAGCAACCUGCAGAUAUAUAGGCUCACAUGCAUCAUGAUGAAGUGAAGACAACCAAACUGGAUUUUGAUAGCAACAAUGAAGAUAACCAAGAAGCUAAAUUAUUAGAGGAAGAGUAGAGAGAAUGAAGCUCUUGCUAAGGAAGCAAAUGAAAUAGAAGGAGUGUCAAAUGCAGCUCAAACUACCCAGUUCAAUUUCAUGGCAAAGAACAGAACUGCUCUAGAAGCAUGUAAGAUUAGUGGAGAUGCGGCUAAUGAGGUAGAAAAAUCUGAUGAAACAGUAACAGAUGAAGAAGAUUCUAUUACUUCUCUCUUUCUCAAAUCAUCACAAUGUGAAAGAUGAAAAGAGAAGCUGGCUGCACAUGUAGAAUUUGCUGUUUAACUUGAAAAAGGUGAAGAGGAGCUAUUGAGUGGAAGAAGCAAUGUAGUAACUAAUGAUAUCUGUUAUGUGGAAGAAGCUGGUGGGAAGCCAUGAGGAUGCACUAAAAAGGAGGUGAAAUUAUAGAAAGGAGCCAUUUCUUCAGAAGAAGAAAUGAAGAUGAGAGAUCAUGCCGGUGUCUUGAUGGGAACAAAAGUCUGAUUUGUUACAAACCCAAAUGAAGAAAGGUAGGUAAGGCAAAAGCAGCAACAAGAAGCAAAGACAAACUCGUCAAAAUGGAAUGAACAGUUAAGAAAAGUUUGCUUGCUUUCUGAAUGGUGAUUAGAGGGGAACAGCUGUGCAUGUCUCUAGAGGGUGCUGUCAGCUGACAUGGUCUGCAUACUGUCAUUUGAGUAAAGCAUUUGAUUAGAUGAUAUGCAGGAUUAUAUCCUCAUGCAAUGUCUAGUAGUUAGUACUCGAGUCACUCUUGAGUUAUAGAAAUUAUGUACCUGAUGACCAGUGUGAGAUUUGCACUUACCUGCAUGAGUUUUGGCAAUUGAGGUUGCAAGCAGACCCGCAGGUUUUUUGAACUAGUACUCUUAAGUUAUCUAGCGCUGGUUAACAGGACAUUUUGAACCGAAGUGUCCCGAGGAGCCUGCUAGAACCGGACUCAACUUUCUUUGAAAUCCAUCCUACCCUGCUUUAACGUGUCUGGUCAGGUUGGUUUUGGGUUAAAGUGAGCCUGAGGUGCUACCCUGCAGAGCCACAUGUUCAAUGUAGGAGUUUAUUAGUAUUUGAGAUCAGCAGGGAA
rnacentral:sRNA from 10 species